GACGAACGCUGGCGGCGUGCUUAACACAUGCAAGUCGAACGGAAAGGCCCUGCUUUUGUGGGGUGCUCGAGUGGCGAACGGGUGAGUAACACGGGAGUAACCUGCCCUUGACUUUGGGAUAACUUCAGGAAACUGGGGCUAAUACCGGAUAGGAGCGCCUGCUGCAUGGUGGGGGUUGGAAAGUUUCGGCGGUGGGGGAUCGACUCGCGGCUUAUCAGCUUGUGGGUGGGGUAGUUGCUUACCAAGGCAUUGACGGGUAGCCGGCCUGGGAGGGUGACCGGCCACAUUGGGACUGAGAUACGGCCGAGACGCCUACGGGAGGCAGCAGUGGGGAAUAUUGCACAAUGGGCGGAAGCCUGAUGCAGCAACGCCGCGUGCGGGAUGACGGCCUUCGGGUGGUAAACCGCGUUCGCCUGUGACGAAGCGUGAGUGACGGUAAUGGGUAAAGAAGCACCGGCUAACUACGUG
rnacentral:rRNA from 1 species